rnacentral:rRNA from 1 species
AACGAACGCUGGCGGCGUGGAUGAGGCAUGCAAGUCGAACGAAAGUUAGAGCUAGUAGCAAUAGUAAUUCUGACGAAAGUGGCGUAAAGGGUGAGUAACGCGUGACGUAAUUUACCUUCGAAGUUGGGCAUAACCCUGCGAAAGCGGGGAUAAUUCCGAAUGUGGGUAGCUCCGGGGCAUCCGGGGCGAUCUAAAGGCGGGGAUCGUAAGACCUGUCGCUUGAAGAUGAGCUCACGUCCAUCA